AUCCUUCAGUUUAUGAGCAUGAUUGGGUGUUCAUGCCUCAUGCAUGAGAUGUGCCUCCCUCAAACCUUGUUACGACAUGGGCACAUUACCCAUUGGACC